GUGUAGAAAAAGGGUAUUUAAUACAUGUUUGUUGAAUAUGUAUGAAAGGAUUAUUCUUGUUAUUUACAAUGAUAUUUUCAGUAGUUUCUGUCAUGUCCAACUCUUUGUGACCCCAUUUGGAAAUUUCUUAGCCAAGAUACUGGAGUGGUUUGCUAUUUCCUUCUCCAGCUCAUUUUACCAAUGAGGAAACUGGAGCAAACAGGGUUAAGUGACUUACCCAGAAUCAUCCAGCAGUAAGUAUCUGAGGACAUAUUUAAACUAUUGGGGUUAAGAUAAACAUUUGGUGUAAAUUAAGAGUUUAGUAAGCUAAGGACAGAGUGAAAGAGUGUCAGAUCAACUUCUGAGGCCUAGCUUGGAAUCUUGGGCAAAGUUCCUGCAGGGAAUCUUGGGAAGCUUAAAAGGAUUGGACUUCCAACUGCCAAGUGUCUCUUGGACAGUGUGGAAAGGAAACAAGACUGACAGUUGGUGGGGGAAGGGGCAAUUGGGAGUGGCAUUUGUGUCUUGUGACUAGCACUUCCUUCCAAGAGAAGCCUUCCUCUCCGAGGCUGGUUGGAUCCUGCUGUCAGAAUCUACUUUGGAAAACUGGGAAAACCAAUAGUUACAGUUGUAGGAGGAACCAAAUUGUGGAGAAGAUCAAGAGAAAGAAGAAAAGAGACUUUAUUUUUCUACCUCUGUGUAACUGAAGACAAAGGCGUCAUUUUGCUCUUCCAAAAAAUGAAAGAAAAACCACUUACUCUAUGCCAGGCAACUGUCUGACUUUUCUUCACCUUCACAUAGCUACAUCUGGAUCGGGAGAGUGCCCAGAGGAAGGAAGCCAAUGAAGAACUCCCAAACAAGCCAAACCACAAUGUCUGAACCAAGGAAGCUGGACAAUGUAUUUCCUCUAUUCUAUGCACCUGGUUUCUCUGCUUGGAAUAGAUGUAGCCCACAGGGUUAACUGAGUUUGCAGUCUGCUCAAGGGGAAAGUGUGCUGACCCUCUGUUGCCUGCUGUUAUGCCCAUACCAACAAAAUUAUGGGAAACCCCAGCCAGACUAUUCUAAGGACCACAGGCAUGUCUGGUUUGUCAGAUUAUUACAGAAAUUUUUCCAUGAACAAUAUGAAUCAAGUUGUAUAUAACUAAACAAUAUUUCCUUGAUUUACUUUUGUGGUGGUUCUGCCUCCUUUCUCCAAACUGCCAUUAGAUAAUGGUUGAACAUCUGAUGAGUCAAGCAUUCAAUUGAAGCCACCUGUUUGAAGGAUGGGUCUAAGGGUUUUUAUUCACUGUGAAGAGAAAGCCUACUUUAUUUUCUUUUCAUGGUAGGAAAAGAGGAAACCUAGCAUGCAUAGUUUGUAUAGUGGAUCAUUGUUAGCUUUAUUAUAGGUUCAUAGAUUGAGAACUGACAGUUGAGAAUUCACAAGGAUCUCAGAGGUCAUCGAGUUUAUCACUCUGAUUAUACAGAGAAGGAAGUCCAAGCCCAGAGUUGUAAAGUGACUUAUUUAUCCAAUGUAAUACAGUAAGGAGAUAGCAGAACUAGGAUUUGAAACCAGGUCUUUGACUCCAAAUCUAAUCAGGCAGCAAUUCAAUCAACAUCCAUUAGUUUUAUGCUAUGACCUAAGAACCUUUUUUAAGUGCUAUGGUACCAAACCAAAAUAAAAAGGCCAUAGACAGCUCCAUUCUCAAGGAGUUCAUAGUCUAACAGGAAAAAAAAAACAACAACAUGCAAACUGAUUGCCUCAAAAGAAAAUAUGUACAGAAUAAAAUGGAGCUAAUAGUCAGCAGAGAGUACUAGCUUUAAAUGGAAUACUGAAAGGCUUCUUAUAAAAGGUAGGAUUUUAGCUGGGAUUUAAAAGAAACCAUGAAAACCAGGAGGUAGAAGAAAC